rnacentral:rRNA from 1 species
GACGAACGCUGGCGGCGUGCUUAACACAUGCAAGUCGAACGGAAAGGCCCUGCUUUUGUGGGGUGCUCGAGUGGCGAACGGGUGAGUAACACGUGAGUAACCUGCCCUUGACUUUGGGAUAACUUCAGGAAACUGGGGCUAAUACCGGAUAGGAGCUCCUGCUGCAUGGUGGGGGUUGGAAAGUCUCGGCGGUUGGGGAUGGACUCGCGGCUUAUCAGCUUGUUGGUGGGGUAGUGGCUUACCAAGGCUUUGACGGGUAGCCGGCCUGAGAGGGUGACCGGCCACAUUGGGACUGAGAUACGGCCCAGACUCCUACGGGAGGCAGCAGUGGGGAAUAUUGCACAAUGGGCGGAAGCCUGAUGCAGCAACGCCGCGUGCGGGAUGCCGGCCUUCGGGUUGUAAACCGCUUUCGCCUGUGACGAAGCGUGAGUGACGGUAAUGGGUAAAGAAGCACCGGCUAACUACGUG